AACAGGAUUAGAUACCCUGGUAGUCCACGCCCUAAACGAUGUCUACUAGUUGUCGGGUCUUAAUUGACUUGGUAACGCAGCUAACGCGUGAAGUUGACCGCCUGGGGAGUACGGUCGCAAGAUUAAAACUCAAAGGAAUUGACGGGGACCCGCACAAGCGGUGAUGAUGUGGAUUAAUUCGAUGCAACGCGAAAAACCUUACCCACCCUUGACAUGGCAGGAAUCCCGGAGAGAUCAGGGAGUGCUCGAAAGAGAACCUGCACACAGGUGCUGCAUGGCUGUCGUCAGCUCGUGUCGUGAGAUGUUGGGUUAAGUCCCGCAACGAGCGCAACCCUUGUCAUUAGUUGCUACGAAAGGGCACUCUAAUGAGACUGCCGGUGACAAACCGGAGGAAGGUGGGGAUGACGUCAAGUCCUCAUGGCCCUUAUGGGUAGGGCUUCACACGUCAUACAAUGGUACAUACAGAGCGCCGCCAACCCGCGAGGGGGAGCUAAUCGCAGAAAGUGUAUCGUAGUCCGGAUUGCAGUCUGCAACUCGACUGCAUGAAGUUGGAAUCGCUAGUAAUCGCGGAUCAGCAUGUCGCGGUGAAUACGUUCCCGGGUCUUGUACACACCGCCCGUCACACCAUGGGAGCGGGUUUUACCAGAAGUAGGUAGCUUAACCGCAAGGAGGGCGCUUACCACGGUAGGAUUCGUGACUGGGGUGAAGUCGUAACAAGGUAACC
rnacentral:rRNA from 1 species